rnacentral:tRNA from 1 species
AGGAUAAUAGUUAAAUUUAACAUUUAAUUUGCAAUUAAAAAAUAUUGAAAUCAAUUUAUCUUA